UACGUAGGGUCCGAGCGUUGUCCGGAGUUACUGGGCGUAAAGCGUGUGUAGGCGGACCGUUAAGUGCCUCGUGAAAUCCCCCGGCUCAACCGGGGAACGGCCGGGCAUACUGGCGGUCUUGAGCGGCCUAGGGGCAGAUGGAACAGGCAGUGGAGCGGUGAAAUGCGUAGAUAUCGCCUGGAACGCCGACGGUGAAAACAGUCUGCUGGGGCUCGCUGACGCUGAGACACGAAAGCCAGGGAGCGAACGGG
rnacentral:rRNA from 1 species